rnacentral:rRNA from 1 species
AACGAACGCUGGCGGCAGGCUUAACACAUGCAAGUCGAACGCUCCGCAAGGAGAGUGGCAGACGGGUGAGUAACGCGUGGGAACGUGCCUUUCGGUUCGGGAUAACCCAGGGAAACUUGGGCUAAUACCGGAUACGCCCUUCGGGGGAAAGAUUCAUUGCCGAAAGAUCGGCCCGCGUCGGAUUAGCUAGUUGGUGGGGUAAAAGCCUACCAAGGCGACGAUCCGUAGCUGGUCUGAGAGGAUGACCAGCCACACUGGGACUGAGACACGGCCCAGACUCCUACGGGAGGCAGCAGUGGGGAAUAUUGGACAAUGGGCGCAAGCCUGAUCCAGCCAUGCCGCGUGGGUGAAGAAGGCCCUAGGGUUGUAAACCCCUUUCAGCGGGGAAGAUAAUGACGGUACCCGCAGAAGAAGCCCCGGCUAACUCCGUGCCAGCAGCCGCGGUAAAAC